AACGAACGCUGGCGGCAUGCCUAACACAUGCAAGUCGAACGAGACCUUCGGGUCUAGUGGCGCACGGGUGCGUAACGCGUGGGAAUCUGCCCUUGGGUUCGGAAUAACAGUUAGAAAUGACUGCUAAUACCGGAUGAUGACUUCGGUCCAAAGAUUUAUCGCCCAAGGAUGAGCCCGCGUAGGAUUAGCUUGUUGGUGAGGUAAAAGCUCACCAAGGCGACGAUCCUUAGCUGGUCUGAGAGGAUGAUCAGCCACACUGGGACUGAGACACGGCCCAGACUCCUACGGGAGGCAGCAGUGGGGAAUAUUGGACAAUGGGCGAAAGCCUGAUCCAGCAAUGCCGCGUGAGUGAUGAAGGCCUUAGGGUUGUAAAGCUCUUUUACCCGGGAUGAUAAUGACAGUACCGGGAGAAUAAGCCCCGGCUAACUCCGUGCCAGCAGCCGCCGUAAUAC
rnacentral:rRNA from 1 species